GAAAUGCGAUAAGUAUUGCGAAUUGCAGAAUUCAGUGAGUCAUCGAAUUUUUGAACGCACAUUGCGCCCUUUGGUAUUCCGAAGGGCAUGCCUGUUCGAGCGUCAUUAUCAACCCUCAAGCUUGGCUUGUCAUUGAAUCUCGUCGUUGAAGACGGGUUCAAAAGAUAACGACGGUGUCAUGUUCGACCCCAGAUGCAAUGAGCUUUUUAGCACGCAUGGUGGUGGUCGGCUGGCCUGGUCUUGCCCAUUUAUCUCAAGGUUGACCUCGGAUCAGGUAGGAAUACCCGCUGAACUUAA
rnacentral:misc_RNA from 1 species